rnacentral:rRNA from 1 species
GACGAACGCUGGCGGCGUGCUUAACACAUGCAAGUCGAACGGAAAGGCCCUGCUUGCAGGGUACUCGAGUGGCGAACGGGUGAGUAACACGUGGGUGAUCUGCCCUGCACUUCGGGAUAAGCUUGGGAAACUGGGUCUAAUACCGGAUAGGAGCCAUCUUUAGUGUGGUGGUUGGAAAGUUUUUUCGGUGUAGGAUGAGCUCGCGGCCUAUCAGCUUGUUGGUGGGGUAAUGGCCUACCAAGGCGGCGACGGGUAGCCGGCCUGAGAGGGUGUACGGCCACAUUGGGACUGAGAUACGGCCCAGACUCCUACGGGAGGCAGCAGUGGGGAAUAUUGCACAAUGAGCGCAAGCCUGAUGCAGCGACGCCGCGUGGGGGAUGAAGGCCUUCGGGUUGUAAACUCCUUUCGCUAGGGACGAAGCUUUUUGUGACGGUACCUAGAUAAGAAGCACCGGCUAACUACGUG